GGUGUGGGGGCCCUGUUGACUGUUAUUGUUUGACUGAGAUCUAAAAUUUAAAUUGAAUAUUUAUCAGUAGAAUAUGGAAAAUUCUGUGUCUAUAACAAUGAUAAUAACAGUCUCCAACACAUGUAACAACUUUUAAGAAUAACUUUUGUUCUAUUUGAGAUGGAAUACCGUCGUCGAUGGAGCAUUUAUUAUUUAGCAUUAUUAAUUUUGUAUUUUUCCAUCGAUUCGUAAUUACCUGCAUUUUUUACGUUUUACGUCUAAUUUUCUGGGUGAUAGACUGUGGCUGAUGGGUGGCCCUAACUGUUGGGGGCCCUCAGUUUUUGAACUAAUCCUACCUAGUGAGCGUUACGCCACUGAGGGGGGCAGUGAGUGAGAAGAGGGGGGCGGGGCAGCUUCAACUAUUUUUUCCUGAAUUGGGGGUGUCCUCAAAAUAUGUGACAAGGGGUGACCCCAAAUUUUUAAUACUUUCCUACUCAUUUUCAAUCUAUUGCCUUUAUCGUAUCCCACAAAAUAUCCCACCUUUUUUAGUUCCUAUAAUCGUAGUUUCCAUAGUUUAUUACGUAUAUACAGUUCACGAUAGGAGUCAGAGUAAAUAACAACCAUUUCGAAUACUGGUCCUCUUAUUAUUUAGGCUACACAAUAUCGUAACACCAGUACUUGUCCCAUUACCUAUUUUACACCAACUAAGUAACAAUUAAAUGUUGGAGGGGGGUCCUAAAUGUUCUAAAUGAAGGUGGGGGCAUCUUGAAAAUAAAGGUCUUGCGAUUGGGGCGGCUCUAAAGAAUGUUUAUUAUUUGGUAUCUAUCACCCACCGCCCCCCGCCCCCUCCCUCCUCCCAUUAUUAAUGAGUGGUCCCUUAUGAAAGGUUUUUAUCCAGUGAGUUUUACUAUAUAUUCUAAAGCACAUGCAUCUUUCGUCCUUUAUAAAGACAUACUAUAUUAUUAUAUGAGUAUAGUACUGCAGUAAAUCGAUAAAGGUUUUAUGUAUGCAUAAUUUGGAUCUUUCAUAAAUAUUUCACACACGGUAUUCGUAUGAAUAUUUAUAAGACAAAUUUACAUAUUGAAAUUAGUUCACUUACCAAAAAGUGCGUUUAAUUUGAUACAUCUCCAACCACUACUUGUUUUUAUUUUGUAAUCUUCAAAUAUUUCUCAAGCAUUUCUGCUUGUGAAGCGCAAACAAGCACACGGUCACUAUCGCUAUACUCUUCGAUGGAAGCCAUAUUGCUUUGGUUUCGCGCGUUUUUUUCCAAUUUCGCGCACUAAUUUAUUUGAAUUUUAAAUAUGGAAUACCGCUGACUCGUAUGUAUUGCAGUUUCAGAUAUGUGCGUAUCUUGUCUAUGAUCUAGUGCCGACCGUCAAGCAAGUGAAGCCAAAAACAUGGCGGAUUUUCAAGGAUUUUCACGUUUGCUGACGCCAGAAUGACGCCACUGGUCCCAAAUCCUCGUGGUAAUUACCACUGAGCAAGGCUCAUUUUGAGCCCGCUACCACUUUCUCAUCCCCCUGAUUUUCACAAAAAUAUUUUAGCUUUUUGUUUUGAAGUUUGCCUCGGUGUUUGCCUUCUCUUCGACAUUUUAACAUUUGUUUCGAGUUGCACAAGUGGUAAGAAUCAUCCUGGCUAGUGAAAGACAGGGAACGAAUCUUCAAACCUCAAGAAAUUUUGGAAAGACGUUAUUUUUAUAAAAGGUAAAAAAAUACUGUUUAUAUGUUCAAUAUUAAUUUGUGAUAGAGUAUGUCAAAACAAAGCGAAAUAAACAGCCCAUUUGUACUGUGUAGUGGACAAUUUUAGCAACUGAUGUAUACAAUUAAGUUGCCCAAACUAUAUUAAUACGAGAAACAGUCUUCCUCGAAAGAAAAUGGUUGAAAUUUCAGAUUUUAGUUUCAUUUGUUAUUUCAAAUUUUACGAUAUAAAAUGCCAGUCGACCACCAUCUGCUUGACUGCUUCAUGAUCAUACUUAUUAAAAUUAAAGUGGUUUCUAUUAUAUUAGUAUACUUAUAGAGGAAGACCUUUUUAAGCCAGAACUAUCAUGGCUUGGCUUUGAAUGAUUUAAUCUAUAUACUUUAUAACUGGCCACUGAUGGCAAUGAAAUUAUAAUGACUAAUGUGUAGAAUUAUCAAGUCUAGAUCCAACAAUUGGCAGUUUCAUAUAUAAGAUCAGGCAUAUAUAAGAUCAAAGCUAGUUUCAUAUAUAAGAUCAGGUUUAGAGGCCUGUAGCAUUUUCUCUAGAAAUUGCAUGAGUAAAAUUAAUUUCAUAAUUAACCCGUUGAGCCGCAAUGCUCCCUAUUUAUUUUUUUACUUGCCAGAUGAUUUUACUUGUCAAUGGGGAAGCUCUGUAGCUUAUCGGUUAACCAAAAAAAAACUAACAAUGUCUCUAGUUAACCUAUUGAGCCGCAAUGCGCCCCAGUGUGCCCUACUUUUUUUUUACUUUCUAAAGCCACACAAUAUCACUCGUCAAUGGGGAAGCUCUGCAGCUUAGAUGAUAUUUGAUGUUGGUAAUUCAUGUAUUUUUGGAGGAAAAUAUUUUAGACAGUGGUUGUUUGCCUGACACCAAACCCCAAUAUUUACAUGCUAUUUGUCUAAGUGAACUAUUUUCCUCAUUCUUUCAACAUGCCAAAGUGAUACAAAAUAAAUUUCAGUUGAAUUCAAGCAAGUCCUCGGUCCGUAAGUUGUCAACUGACGACUAUCACCUUCAUUGUUAGUUAAGUAUAUAUCUGCUUAAGUCCUGGGUUCAAAUGAGUGGAAUUUCAAGAGCAUUCUGACUGGCUUUGUGCAAACAGGGGGCCUUACCGGUUAGGAUGAAGGCCAGUUGAGGUGUUAGGGUUGGGUGCAGGCAAGGUUCAUGUAAACUUAUUGUUAGCAAGAAUCAGAGAAGGAUUUUCAUAUUUUUGUUCGGGGGGGGAUAAAUAUCUGGGGGGGGGGUGAUGCUGCUUGCUUUGGCCGGGGCCUGGUGGCAACACCUGGAAAGGCCAAGGAAAAAGUUUGGGACAAAAUUUGUUUUCUAUGUCUGCAUAGCAAGAUCUGAGACCAUAAUAUUGGUAAUUUUACAAAUUUAGUAGUAAGAAUAAUCAAAUAUGAAACUAUCAAAUCAAAAUAUAUAUAAUUUGUGGGGGUGCAAAAACUUUGGGGGGCAGUGCCAAAUGCCUCUUGGGGGGGGGGGGGGUUUGCAAAUAAUUUCUGUGGUACACCCCCCCCCCCCAGAAAAUCUGUGCCUGGCAAGAAUGUUAUGUGUACAUAAUCAUGUGUAAUGUUGUUUGGAUUAAUUGCAUUUAAACGUUGGAAUCCAGUGUCGAACAAUAACCACAACAAUUAUAAUAUAAAGUAUUUGGUUGUUUUAGUGUAAUAUUAAUUUCUCAUAUAUUUUUUUUAGAAAUAAAGCACCAUUGAGCAACUUGUUGGGAAAGAGGAGUCACAAACUGUUGAUGAAUAUAUUUAAUUAACUACACAUAAAAUACAAUUUUAUUAACAGUAUAUUGAUUUAUGGGUUUAUUAGACCACAUUAUUUUCAUAUUAUUAAUAAUUAAAAAUAAAAUUAACAAAUAAAUUAC
rnacentral:lncRNA from 1 species